rnacentral:lncRNA from 1 species
GAAGGCUUGCAUUAAACUCUGGCUCCAGGCCACUGCAGUACAUUGUGACCUUGAGGCGCUGUGGGCACACUAGACAUUGCCACCACCCCAAAGCCUCAUGCUGAUCCUUGAGAAGAGAGUAGGGCAAGUUAGCUAUUCUGUUAUGAGGAUACACAAGCAAUUUAUAAAGAGGCUCAUGUGGCAAUAAUGGGGAACUCUUGCCAACCCCAUGGAACGGAGCCAUCCAGGAAACAGACACCAAGGUCCAGUCCAACUGUCAGAUGCCUGAAGCUCUUGCCAACACCUUGAGCUUACCACAGUGGAAUGAGGACCUGGACCGGGCCACCCAGGUCGUGAAUUGUGCCCUUCCCUCAACCUCAGUCUUUCUCAACUGGCUGUUUCUUAAAGAGUAGAGCAAAAGAAAUGAAGCAGAGAGGGGAAGAGGUCCAUAGCUCCAGGCUGUGAACUUCCAGAAAUGCAAGCUACCUUUCAAACAAACAAACAAACAAACAAACAAACAAGCAAACAAAACCAAAAACAUUUCUUACAGGAAGAUGAUCAACGUAGACCAAGAAUGGAUGAACAAGGGUAACUGUGAGAAGAAAG